CCUAGUUGAUUCUGCCAGUAGUUAUAUACUUGUCUCAAAGAUUAAGCCAUGUAUAUCUAAGUAUAAGCACUUAUACCAUGAAACUGUGAAUGGCUCAUUAAAUCAGUUAUAGUUUAUUUGAUAGUACCUUUACCUAGAUAACUGUGGUAAUUCUAGAGCUAAUACAUACUAAAAACCUUGACUUCAGAAGGGAUGUAUUUAUUAGAUAAAAAACCAAUGCCCUUUGGGGCUCCUUAGUGAUUCAUAAUAACUUAACAAAUCAUAUGGCCUUGCACCAGCAAUAGUUCAUUCAAAUUUCUACCUUAUCAACUUUCAAUGAUAAGGUAGUGGCUUACCAUGGUCUCAAUAGGUAAUGAGGAAUUAAGGUUCAAUUCUAGAGAGGGAGCCUAAGAAACAACUACCAUAUCCAAGGAAGGUAGUAGACACAUAAAUUACCCAAUACUGAUUCAGUGAGGUAGUGAUAAUAAAUACUAAUACAGGGCUCUUUCAGGUCUUAUAAUUAGAAUGAGUAUAAUCUAAAUCCCUUAACAAGGAAUAAUUAAAGGGUAAGUCUGGUGUCAGCAGCUAUAGUAAUUCCAGCUCCAAUAGUGUAUAUUAAAGUUGUUGCCAUUAAAAAGCUUGUAGUUAAACCUUGGACCUGGCUAAUCUAUCCUCCUAAUCAAGUGUAUAGAUUCAGUCAGGUCUUUUCUUCUAGGAAGCCUUAUACCCUUUACUAGGUGUAAUGGAGAACCAGGACUUUUACCUUGAAAAAAUUAGAGUGUUCAAAGCAGGCCUUUGCUUGAAUACAUUAGCAUGGAAUAAUAGAAUAGGAUAUCAGUUCUAUUUUGUUGGUUUCUAGGACUACUGUAAUGAUUAAUAGGGAUAGUCAGGGGUGUCUAUAUUUAAUUAUCAGAGGUGAAAUUCUUGGAUUUAUUGAAGACAAACUACUAUGAAAGCAUUUACUAAGGAUGUUUUCAUUAAUCAGUGAAUAAAAGUUAGGGGAUUGAAGACAAUCAGAUACUAUUAUAGUCUUAACCAUAAACUAUGCUAACUAGGGAUUGGAUAAUGGUUUUUUUAUGCCCUAUUUAGCACCUUACAAGAAAUCAAAGUAUUUAGGUUCAGGGGGGAGUAUAGUCAUAAGGCUGAAACUUAAAGAAAUUAAUAGAAGGACACCAUAAGGUGUGGAGCCUAUAGCUUAAUUUAACUUAACACAGGGAAACUCACUAGGUCCAGACAUACUUAGGAUUAAUAGAUUGAUAGCUCUUUCUUGAUUAUAUGGGUGGUGGUGUAUGGCUGUUCUUAGUUAGUAAGUUUUAAUCCCCCUGUCUUACUGAAGAUUCUUUAACUAAUAUAUUUAUAGGUGGAGUGAUUUAUCUGCUUAAUUGCAAUAAUAAACAAGACCUUGACCUACUAAAUAGCCUGAUUGACUUUUGUUGGUUGCUGGCUUCUUAGAGGGACUUUUAACUCAAGCCAAUAGAAGUAUAAGGCAAUAACAGGUCUAUGAUACCCUUAGAUAUUCUAGGCUACAUAUAUGCUACACUGACAGAGCCAGUGAGUACAUUACCUUAGCCAAAAGGUCUAGGUAAUCUUGUUAAACUCUAUCAUGCUGAGGAUAGAGCAUUACAAUUAUUACUCUUCAACAAGGAAUGCCUAGUAAGCACAAGUCAUCAGCUUAUAUUGAUUAUAUCCCUGUCCUUUAUAUACACUGCCUAUCACUACUACUGAUUGAAUGGCUUAGUGAAGCCUUAGGACUGGCUUAGAAAGGUCAGCAACAACUAUUCAGAGCUGGAAACUUGGUUAAACUUGGUUAUUUAGAGGAAGUAAAAGUUGUAACAAGGUUUCUAUAGGUAAAUCUAUAGAAG
rnacentral:rRNA from 1 species